rnacentral:tRNA from 1 species
GGAGGGAUGCGAGAGUGGCCGAAUCGGACGGUCUCGAAAACCGUUGUGUCCCUGUGGCACCGUGGGUUCGAAUCCCACUCCCUCCG